CGGGAAGUAGCGCAGAUGGCUAGCGCGCAACGUUCGGGACGUUGAGGUCGUGGGUUCAAGCCCCACCUUCCCGA
rnacentral:tRNA from 1 species